AGUCAGGAACUGUACAAACUCAAUUAUCUCCAGGCACAGAAAACACACAAUUUAUAAAACACCACAAAAUACACAUAAAAUACACAAAACCCCUACAAAAUUUACAUCCCUUCAUAGCCCGAUCUGGGUGACCAACAUAUCCAAAAAUCACUAGACAUGUGUGUAGCGGCACCCCGAAGAGUGAGGGGUUUUCCCCGCCAAGAGAUGUCCUUUCUCACCUGUUGUGAGAGGGAGGCUGUAGAGUAGAGCAGGAACAGCUCUUUAAAGAGCUAGUGAUUAUAAUACUCCAAAGAGCAAUCCCAAGAGCAUGGAUU